rnacentral:lncRNA from 1 species
GAGCUGAAUAUUUGAGAGCAACAUGAAGACUAAAUACUCUCACAUAUUCCUGGUGUCAAAAAUUCUUGUGUGGCAAGGAAACAGCAGUACAUCUCCUGAUCUCCAGACAGCAUGGGAACAGCUGAAUCAUCCAGUCCUUCUGUCCUCUUGUUUGUCACAUACAGAAACACCUUACUGCUUCCUGCAUAUGAAGAAGUGUAUUUUUUAAGAUGGAUCCCACUUCCUUUAGGUCUACUGAAAGAAGCAAAAAAGCUGUCUUGCACACAGGCAAGUCUGUUCUCUGUGAACAGUUACAGAAACUUCCCAAUGCACUUCCUCUGAAUCCAAGUCUUCCUUGAGACUGUCAUUAGCAUUUGCCAGCUGAGUCAAGUUCCAAUGGUAAUAGCUUUUCUUCAGGAAUUAUUUAUACACUGACAGGAAAACUACAUCCUUCUUCUCUAACAUCUUGAGACUCUCAAUGAAAAAAGAAGAAGUUUCAGUUCUGUGUAUAUUUUAUAUAUCUUACUGUCAAAUUCAAAAAAUGGGGUUUGUGAAUGGUUUCUCUGAAUAAAAAUGGUA